ACAGCUCGAAAGCCGCGAUACUCAUCCCACACAAGAUGCUCGCCUCACCGCAGCGCAUCUUUUCCUCAUGAGUGGGCUAAGGUCUGAGCAUCUCACGUUCAAAUUCCCCUCGAUUGGUCCUAGCAGGACCCGGUGUUUAACGACCCGAGCGGCAUACCAGAAAUAUCACGCCCUUCCAAUCCUAGGAGGGAAUCCUAGCAGCUUAUGACCGUACGGUCACCCGAAGAUCCGAUGCCUUGAGCACACAAACUGGGGAGGGAGUUGCGCAGGUGGGGUGUUGUUGAAAUGUGCCGAGGGUUUUUGACACUGGGUACGUCCUGGACCUUUCAACCGCUUCCUUCGUGUCGACGGUUCGAUCUAUGGUCUAUCUUCUUCGUCGUGCUUUCGUUCGUGUCCUUGUCCUCUCCAACGCCCCCGUAUUCGUGCCUCGCACCGCCAGCGCCGGCUCGGUGCGCUUCAAUGAACCAGUUUGACAGCCUCAAAACGAGACUGUCGCUGGGCCUGAUAUAAAGAUGCCCUGGGGUAGACAGCCUUUCGGGUUCAAGCCUUUAGGACUUUUCGUGUGUUAUUGGUGAGAGCCUGUUGGGCUCGGAUGUCCCGGGGCAGGCGCAAGAAGCAGGGGCGGAGGCAUAGGUGGGACGAUCGUUCGACAGGAAGAAGGGCGUAUCCUUCAGUUCACUUCGCGGCUCGCGUUGAACCGUUCACCUUUUGGCGUGACGGGAGCGAAACUCGAUUCAGACUGCUCUUGGGCUGU
rnacentral:RNase_P_RNA from 2 species